AUUUAAUGUUAGAAUAGUAACAUGCUAUACAAGUUUGUAGCUUAGAAGCAGUAGGCUAUGCCAUAGAGCCUAUGCGUGCAGUAAGCUACACCAUCUAGGUUUAUGUAAGCUACACCAUCUCUUUUAUGUUCAUACAAUGAAAUUACUUAAAGAUGCAUUUCUCAGAAUGUAUCCUUAUCAUUAAGUGACAUGGUAUAAAUGUAAAAGGUAUAACUACUGUACUUAAGAUAAAAAUAUAUUCAGUUUAUAUGGGGCUCUUUUAGAGAACCACAUACAAGGGGUUCUAUAUAAAACAUAAGGAUUCAGAAAAUUUAAAAGUAAAUGGAUGAUAAA